rnacentral:lncRNA from 1 species
CCAUCUUGAGAUAAAGCCACAAACGAUACAAUAUUAACUAAAUAACUAUAGAAGCAUUUAACUAAUAUAUUUUUUUUAAGAAGUUAAAAUGAAUUAUAUUACCACCUUAAAAGAUCCUUCCUAGCACACGUACUAAGUAAAGGACACCAAAGUCAAAAUAAAAUUACAAUAGUAACCUGUAAUGAGCAAAUAAAACAUAAAAGAAACUUUUAGCCUAUGUCCAAAAUCGUAAACGGACUAAGCCACCACCCAUGGUAAUUGAAGGGAAGAGAAGCAUACUUCAACAUCAACCACGUAAAGGUAAGCGAUUUAAUCUUGUCGACCACCUGAUUAACUGAGCACUCUUUGACAUUAAACAACCUAUUGUUUCUUUCCUUCCAUAUUUCCCAAACUGCAGCGAACCAAAUGACAUGAAGAAUAGAGCGAUGCACCUUUGUGGUACCACCACUAAAACUAAACAGAUUAAAAUGAUCCGGCACCUGAAAUGGGGUAGCCACUGACAAGCCUAACCAUCUAUGAAUGAAGUGCCAAACGGAUCCAAAAAAAUUACAAUGUAAAAAUAAAUGAUUUGAUGAUUCCAAGGAGCCACAACCAGACACGCACAACCUUGAUCAAUAACACCACGACGGAGCAAAUUAUCUUUUGUGGAUAGCCUGUCGCGAAAAAAAUAAUUAUAAUAUUUUUUAUUAUAAGUCACUUAAAAAAAAAUGGUUAAUAUGAUGAACUUUGAGAGGCUGCAUCCUCCCAUAAUGUUUCACUUUAGUUAAUAUCAUUGAAUCUUGAAACCUCAAUUGACCCUUUCACAAUCCUCACUUCCAUAUUCACAUUCCGCCCAUACAAAUCCAAUAUUCAACACUUUCAUUCAGCGCCUCCACCCGAAAUCUAAAUCCUACACAACACAUAUUGUGACUCUAGUCCACCCUCCAUCAACUAUGGUUAUGAAAAUAAUAAAUUCCCUCAAAGAGUACCUUGUCGUGCAAAAGAAGACAAGAACCCCUGACUGUGGAAUUGAUAAAUUAGAAUGGAUUAAUAUGAAAUGAAUAGGAACUCUUGAUUGAAUUGGUACUCCCUUGAAAUGAAUUUGCCACAAUUGAUGAGCUAUCAUGACUAAUGCAGAUGGAUAAAACGCUUAUUAUUUAUUUUGUUAAUAAUAUAAAGUACUUAUUUUUUUUGCUAAUGAUAUAAAACACUUCUAUUAUGAAUAGGUUUUCCCUUUUAUUAUCAUGUAUAGUUGGUUUAAAGAUGAAAACCGUAAAGAAGGUGAAUCUACUCUAGCGUUGAUUUGAGCGGUGUUUCCCAUUGUAAUGGCAUCAUUUUUAUGAGCUAAC